GUGGGCGUAGUGUAGUUGGUUAACACGUCAGGUUGUGGCCCUGAAGAUCGCGGGUUCAAGUCCCGUCGCUCACCCCA
rnacentral:tRNA from 1 species